rnacentral:tRNA from 2 species
CGCGGGGUGGAGCAGUGGCAGCUCGUCGGGCUCAUAACCCGGAGGUCGCAGGUUCGAAUCCUGCCCCCGCUACCA